UACGAAGGGGGGCUAGCGUUGCUCGGAAUCACUGGGCGUAAAGGGUGCGUAGGCGGGUCUUUUAAGUCAGGGGUGAAAUCCAUGGAGCUCAACUCCAGAACUGCCUUUGAUACUGAAGAUCUUGAGUUCGGGAGAGGUGAGUGGAACUGCGAAGUGUAGAGGUGAAAUUCGUAGAUAUUCGCAAGAACACCAGUGGCGAAGGCGGCUCACUGGCCCGAUACUGACGCUGAGGCACG
rnacentral:rRNA from 1 species